rnacentral:rRNA from 1 species
GACUCCUACGGGGAGGCAGCAGUGGGGAAUAUUGCACAAUGGGGGAAACCCUGAUGCAGCCAUGCCGCGUGUGUGAAGAAGGCCUUCGGGUUGUAAAGCACUUUCAGUAGGGAGGAAGGUAGUGUAGUUAACACCUGCACUAUUUGACGUUACCUACAGAAGAAGCACCGGCUAACUCCGUGCCAGCAGCCGCGGUAAUACGGAGGGUGCGAGCGUUAAUCGGAAUUACUGGGCGUAAAGCGCAUGCAGGCGGCCUGUUAAGUCAGAUGUGAAAGCCCGGGGCUUAACCUCGGAAUUGCAUUUGAAACUGGCAGGCUAGAGUCUUGUAGAGGGGGGUAGGAAUUUCAGGUGUAGCGGUGAAAUGCGUAGAGAUCUGAAGGAAUACCAGUGGCGAAGGCGGCCCCCUGGACAAAGACUGACGCUCAGAUGCGAAAGCGUGGGGAGCAAACAGGAUUAGAUACCCUGGUAG